rnacentral:rRNA from 1 species
AUAUUAGUAAUGGGCGAAAGCCUGAACUAGCAACGCCGCGUGUGCGAAGAAGGCCUUCGGGUUGUAAAGCACUUUUUGAGAGGAUGAGGAAGGACGGUACUCUCAGAAUAAGUCUCGGCUAACUACGUGCCAGCAGCCGCGGUAACACGUAGGAGGCGAACGUUAUCCGGAUUUACUGGGCGUAAAGCGCGUGUAGGUGGUUUGGUAAGUAGGGCGUGAAAGCUCCUGGCUCAACUGGGAGAGGCCGUUCUAAACUGCCGAACUAGAGGAUGGUAGAGGGAGGUGGAAUUCCGGGUGUAGCGGUGGAAUGCGCAGAUAUCCGGAGGAACACCAGUGGCGAAAGCGGCCUCCUGGACCAUUCCUGACACUCAGACGCGAAAGCUAGGGUAGCAAACGG